CUUAGUCUGUUGCCCAGGAUGGAAUGCAGUAGUGUGAUUACACCUAACUUCAGCCUGAAACUCCUGGGGUCAAGUUAUCCCCCGACCUCAUCAUCCCAAGUAAUGGGGACUACAGAGUUUAGGAUGCUUCAAGGGAAAGAUGAACCGGGGAACCGCCACCGUGACUAUUUCUCAUCUACAUAUCCACCCCCCGAAGUUCUUAAGGUGGAGCGGAAUUCAUUUUAUUUGCAAAUGUGGAAGGCAUUAUAAAAACCGUGAAUGAUGCCCCCUCCCAUGAGGGAUACAGGGAGAGCCACGUGAAGAGGAUGUUGGGCUUCUUCAAGCUGGCAGGGCACUGAGCUGACUGUCCACCACACUCACCAGGGGCCUUUGUGCAUCCCGUGGGGCAGCUCUGGGAAAGGAGGCUGGAAAAAAAAGUCCUAUGGGCCAAAUCCUCCUGAUCCUGUAUAGCCCACAACAUAAUAAUAGUUUUAUAUUUUUAAAUGGUUGGAAAAAUCAAAAGAAGAAGAAUAUUUCAUGAGGGCCAGAAAGGAUGGGCUUUCCCUUUUCCUCGUGGCAGAAACUUCCCUGACUUCAUAGCUGGGUUCCCCCUAUCCACAGUUUACAGUACAACUAUCUCCUCCAAGUUGGCCAGCAUUGCCUCUGAUACGUGAACAAGAAGUAUUUGGAGGGUUAAUAAAUACAAAUCAACACAUAUACACAUGAAGAGAAAAUGGAUGUAAUAACCAAGGACUGCCUGAUAUGCGGGAACUGAAGCUCAGAAAGGCAAAACAACUUUUCAUGCUCUUCUACCUAAUAAGUCGGAGAACCAAGAUUCAAAUUCUAAAUGCGGGUCUGAUUGAGGCCAAGCAGGUGAGCAGGCUCAAUGGGAUUCUCAGUGUUGGCCUGGCUUCCACACAAGGAAGAGGCCACUGGCAGGGGUUCCUGUCCUCAGCCAGGCUUCUAGCCUGACACUGGCUGGACAACGCAGAGUGAAGCUGGUCAUAGGGCAGGGUUUCCUGAAGCUGUGCCUGCUUCAUGAGGCUGCCUGCUGGCCCAGGCUCACCUCUCCCUCCAAAGGGCACAGUGGCUAUUUCUGGCCGUCCCAGCCUCUGGCUGUGUCUGUCUUCUUUAACCUUCCUGAGGCUCCAAAGGCCAUUAGGAAGCUGGCCGAAGCUUCAUGGCCCAAUGACAGGACUAGGAUCUUACUGGAUGGAGGAGGGGAGAGAGUGAGUCUUUAGGUCCGUGAAAUUGCUGCCAGCAUUUGGCCAGCUGUCGUCCAUCAGCCAGAGAGCUAACCAGAGCCUCCCUUGGGGCUGGUCCCUGGAGUGCCAUGGAGCAGAGGCCGUGCCAGUUCCUGGCUGGGGGCCAGAAGAAAAUCAAUAUGAGUUGGCCUGCUCCAGCAGGGCCCCCCACAUCUGGUGCCGGGAAUGACUGAUUGAAGGGACUUGUCAUAGAAUGAUGGGAGGCCACAGCUGGAAGGGAUUUGAGUGACCAUAUGGCCCAGUGGUUCGCAAACCCUUUAACACAGUGGAGAUCUUUCUUCGAAUGAAACUGCAGGCAGUAAAAACCAAUACAGAAAACUGUUAGUAGUAGAACUCACUGAGAUCCUGGGAACUCCCUGGGCCCCUGGCGGUCUGUGAAACAGCUUGGGCCAUGCUCAUCUCCUGGAACUCCCUGGUGGUGGAGAUGGAAAACAGGACAGAGGGUGAGAUUCUGACCUGUGGGGCAGAGCCAGGGCCCAGAGCCCAGGCUCUGACUUCCAGUGGGGCCCAGAAGACUGAAGCCACUCAGGGACUGUAUUAAUCCAGUCUGGCCAGGAGAGCUGCUUGUCUGUCCUGAGAUACCUAGGGGAAGCCCUGUCUGAUCACUUUCAGAUGCUGGGCAAAGGGAGGCCCUCCCUCCAGAAGGCUGCAUCAUUAGAGGUUUGAGUCAAGACCCUGGAGGAAACUGCAAGCUCAUGGAGCUGGGAGACCUGGGGUCAGCUUUGUCCUCCUAUAUAAAGGCUGAAAGUCAGGGACACUGAGGCAAGGGCUCCUUCCAGUUAUGUCCCAGAAGAAGAUAAAAGAAAAACUUCUUUGGGACUGGUGGGAAUCUUGGGAGAAAGUGGAAGGAUGAGUGGCCUCAAGCAUAUGGACUGGGUUCUCUUGUCCCAUUCUGGGAAAGUGUCAAAGGAACUGAGUGUUUGUUCGUGCCUCUAGGAGAGAAGAGGAUUUAGCCUAAGGCAGUGCCACCCACAGGAAAGGAAAGAGGGACAGUGGAGGCUCCUGGUUGGUGGGGACCAUGGUCCUUUAGGAAUGCUCUUCAGCAGUGCCUCACAGAGAAGAGCAGAUUCCUAGUGGAGCAUACACUUCAGCCAGCACCCGAGCCCCAGACUUCAUUAGUGUUCAGGUUUUACUUACUCUCACCAGUCUCUGGGUUUCAGACACAUUCUGGGCUUCAUGUGGACCCCAGACUUACUGUAUAUCCGGGCUACUUCUCACUUCAGAUGCUCUCCCCAGAACUGUUUAUUGGAUUAUUCUGAUUAUUCUCAAAGUUUUAUCCAUAUCUUGGGUUUUAUUCAAACCCACUGACCUUUAUUCAAUGCCAUAGAGUUUAUGUAGCUGAGAAUUUGUUUACUUUCAGACUCAAGACUUUAUCCUGUUCCUGCUUCAUCAAGCUAAACUCAGAGUUAAGCCUGCCAACCCUCUUCCACCUUCACCAGGUGUCAGUUCUAGCCUGUUACUUGUCUAGUUCUCAGAGGCUGUAGUGCCGUAAACCUUAUGUGUACGUUUGGCUUACCGGAAUCCAUCCUCAUUUUAACUACUUAAUCACAGGCUUUAUCACGGGCACACCUAGUUCCACUUUUACCCAGUUGCCUCUAAUGAACUAGUAGAGGGUAGUUAGUGUUCCAAGCAUGAACGCUGGAGUCAGACAGCUUUGAGUUCUGCUUAAUUUCUUCCGUGUGGCUUCGCAUAAGUAACUUAACCUCUCUGAGCUUUGCUUCCAACAUAUGUAAAUGAGAUAAUAAAGAUAAUGCAUAUAAAAUGCAUAGCACGUCGCCUAGCACAUAGUAAGCAUGUAGUCAGCUCUGGCUGUUGAUUUUAGCAUGAGCCUCACAAUGAAUAGCAUGUGGAAAUGCAGGAUUCAGGGCUAGAGCUGGACAGGUGAUGAAGGGAAAAGUAAAAAGUUGGCUAACUUUAGAAAAAGGAAAUAAGAAUUUGCUCUUUUUUUUUUCUCAGAAAAAGUUAAACAUACAGUUAGAAACUUUCAUGAACCCUCAUAGCUCAGCAGUUAGGAGACAAGUCUGAUGUGAUGGCAGAGGCUCAGUGAAAGUUGGGACAGAGGCUGGGCGUGGUGGCUCCCGCCUGUAAUCCUACCACUUUAGGAGGCCGAGGCGGGUGGAGUUCGAGACCAGCCUGGCCAACAUGGUGAAACCCUGUCUCUACUAAAAAUACAAAAAUUAGCUGGGCAUGAUGGUGGGUGCCUAUAAUCCCAGCUACUUGGGAGACUGAGGCAGGAGACUCACUGGAACCCAAGGGGCGAAGGUUUCUGUGAGCCGAGAUCAUGCCACUUCACUUGGGCCUGGGCAAAAGAGCAAAACUCUGUCUAAAAAACAAACAAACAAAAAACAAAAAACAACAACAACAAAAAGAAAGUUGGGACAGAAGGAGGUCAGGAAGGAGGGAGGCCAGCAGCACCUUAUUUUUCAGGGCUUCCUUUUGGGGAUGGGCUGCCCCUGGGCUGGGUCAGCCCUGGGCUGGGUCAGCAGGGGUCCUGGGAAUUGUUUCUAGCAUCCCUUAUCCUACCCAGCCCUGUGCCUCUCCCCUCAGCGGAGCCAGGUCUUUGUUUUCUUUGUUUACUCUUUGGUGUCAUAGACUCUCUCACUUGGAGAGCUCAGAGGUGGCUAGAAGACUGUAGGGAAUGAGGGAAGGGUGUGGGAUUCAGAGGGUGGCAAGCUGUCAGUGCAGAAAGCGUUGGAUCCUGCUAGAGUUUGACAGGUUUAGAGGACAGAGAGAGCUGGCACUUGCUGGUGAUAUCCAGAAAUAUGUUAUUAAUACGUGAGGCUUCAUCUCCUGACCUCACUGCAACAAGCAAUGAGGAACUUGUGUGAAGUAGUUUAAGAGUGUGUGUGUGUGUGUGUGUGUGUGUGUGUGUGUGUGUGUAUGUGAGAGAGAGAGAGAGAGAGCAAGAGCACAAUUAAUAAAUCUUAAUGGCUCCUCCCCAGUCCUAUUCUCCAGUCCCCCAAAUCUUAAAUACGCCUUUGUAAGUGAGGGCCCUCAGCACCAAAAGUUAAGUCUCUGCCAUACCACUUCUCCAUAGUAUCCCUGCUAGAGCUGGCUAUGUCUGUAAAUACUGAUGAUAAUAAUAUUAUGAAUGAUGAUAAUGAUGGCAACCUCUUAGUGAAUUCCUAUUCUAAACCGGGUAGUGCAUAUGCGUGCUCUCAUUUAAUCUUCACAACCCUGAGAGGCAGGUAACGGAAUUAUCCCCAUUUUACAGACGAAGAAACAGAGUUUCAGUGAGCAGAGGUGAACCCAGGUCACCCAGCAACCUCGUGAUAAUGUUGAAAGCCUGCCUGUCCAAGGGCCCUGCCAAGCCAAUGCCCUUCACCUCUUUGGCAGUGUUCUGCCUUCCAAAUGCAAGCAUGGAAGCUGCCCACCCACCCAGUGCCAACUGUCUUCAAAAGAUUGUUCAUACUCUCUUCUUUGGUGGUACUGUGCAAAUAUGGUGCCUGAGUUCCCUAUUUCACCCUGACAUUCAGCAUGGCAGGGAACCCGACAGCCCCUUUGCCUCUCUUUCUUUGUCUUUCUCCUGCUGCAUUUCUCCUUUUUACUUUGAUCUCCCAUAGUUAACUCCUGUCCUCAAAUGGGGGCCUUCUGAGGCCUCUGGCUCACUUUGUGUGUUAAACACUUGGACUGAGCUCAAGUUAUUUUAAAAAAGCCCCAACUGUGAUGAUAUGCAGCCCUGCCUCUUCCCUUUUGGUGCUCUGGUCACAGGUUUAUUUUUAUAAUGAGCCUCUGCCUCUUGUCUCCACUGUGGACUUAAUUGCCUGUUACACUAGAAAGAAUGCCAACUGCACUUUGCAGAAACCGAGUAAAAUCAUACCAUAAUGAUCUGUUAAUUUCUUCCAAACUGUUAUUUGUUUAUUUGUCUACUUUUUUCCUCACAGUUGUGAAGGGAUUUAGAGGGGAAGAGGAGGGAGAGAGUUUGUUAAUUCGAAUGUAUUUAUCAUUUUUAGGAUCAUUUUCUCCCAGAGAUCCACAGAAAUUCCUACAGAACAUUGUGUUGAACUUUCUGUCUUCUGGGCAUUUUAAAACUAGAUCCCUCUUUUAAGACAUUUGCCUCAAGCUUGGGGUCAGGAUAGGGACAAGUCCAUCCCAGAAUGAGCUGAAGGUGGAUAAGGGGCCAAGACAGGGGGUACUCAGGGCCGACUUCCCCACCAAGCACAGCAGGCCCAAUGCCCAGGGCUCUCUGUACUUUUAGGAGCCCCUGGAAAUGCCUUAAUUUCUUCUAAAAUUAGCAGAAAGAAAAUGAAUAUAAUCAGAGCUGGAGUAUAUUUUUCUUUAUAUCAGUGCACUUAUAAAAUAGAAUAUUUAAUAUUGCUUUAUGGAGGAAGAAGCCCAUGAAGUUAAAAGCACCCAGGGCCCGUGGAAGUCAUAAUACCACCAGCCCGUGUUCUGUCAAUGCCAAAGAUCACAGGCGCUCUCCCUUCUCCCUCCCUUCUGCUCUCUUCUCGGUCCUUCUCAAUCUCCCUUUCUCUUUGUUUAUUUCUCUCUUCCUUCUUAUGAAUCCAUGUUUAACGCCUAAAAUUAUCUGUCUAAGGAGACAUAAUUAGUGGAGCGGCUGAGGCUGACCUGGGACAGGAACCUGUGCUGUGCUGCUGUCUUGCUUUAGGUGUUCUUCCAGCGUUGGUACUGAAUCACUCCUUGCUUCUAUAUCAAUUUAAAAAACCACCAAACGACAGUUGAGAAAGGGAAUGCAAAAGUCAUCAAGUGCCAUAGUUUGCAAACCAUAUUUCAGCUGUAGACACACACACACACACACACACACACACACACACACACACACACACACGAGGUCCCGUGGGGGUCUCUGGAGGUUUUGGAACAUGGGUUCCUACAGCUGGCCCUGACAAUCCCUGGGCCAGCCUGGCCUCGGCUUCUCAUUUCAGGGAAGAACAGUGGUGCCAGGAGGCUGAAUCUUACCCGAAGCCCCAGGGCUUGUCAGCAGCAAGCCCAUGUUGGCCCCAGGGCUCCUUCGUAGCAUUCAUUUUCUUAGACCAUACUUCAGAAACCUUUAAUUUGGUUUGGCCAUAAGGAUUCAUUGAUGCCACUUUGGUAACCACAGGUUCAUGCACAGUAAGAUGAAUUUUGGGGCAGGGUAAAUACUAGACUCCAAAAUUACACUCUUGUAAAAUACUCAGCACCACAUCAUGAAUCAGGCAUUAUUUACAUUCAACAGGCAAGGAUCCAAGCCUGUGCCUUUUCCAUAUAUUAAGUUGAUGCAACAGCAAUUGCUUUUGCAUCAACCUAAUAUUUUGCUUCCUCUUUAAAAAAGACAGUCAGGAAGUGCCUGGCCCCUCCUUCUUCAUCCUGCUGCCCACCUCCCCCUCCUCUCUGCUCCUCAGUCUUUUCCCUUCCUUUCCUUCCCUGGUCCUCUAGAUCUGACAGGAACCUUGCUCCCUCCCUGCCUUCCCUUGGGUCCCUGUGAAGCCCAGACUCAGGCCCAUCCUCAGCACAAUAUGAACAACCAACAGUGCUUUCAAAGCCCUUGAAGAAUGUUUUCAAUUAUAAUUCACAUGACUUGGGCUCUGCUUUUCCAAAGUCUGAGUUAGCAGCUGCCAGAGCCCUAAGCUAAGCAGGACAGAGGCAGGGCGCGGGUGGCAGCGGGGGGAAAUGGGUUCUGGGUUCUGUAUACAAACCUGAUCAUGAAAGUAAAAUAUGUCAUUAUAAAAUUUCAUUACGUAGAUGAAAGUGAAAAGAAAAAAAUAUGUAAUUCCACCAUGUGGUGUAGUGCUAUGCAGGGUGUCUUUGCAUAUCUUGUACAUGCAUGCAUAGGCUUAUAGAUGUGUAUAUAUGCACACUAUAGUUUCCCUUCUAUUCUAUAAACUUUGGGUUUAUAAAAGUGGCAACAUAUUUAAAUACUUCUUGUCAUCUGUUUCUUACCUUUCCUACCUUUUUUCUGUUGUUUUCCUGUUAUUAAAUAGUCUACAUUAUGUUUAGUUCCUGACCUCACUGGGAAUAGCUGCUGAGGGCUGACCUUGGGGAGUAGGUUCUUAGUGUUGGCAAAUAUUCCUGUCCCCAAGCAAGGCAAAGAAGGCAAGAUUCAUUGCUUCCAAGACCAUGCCGGCUUGGAAAAGGAAGCCAUGAGUGCCCAUCAGAUUGGCCUCAAUGUAAGCUUCUUGGAUUCCUUGGACCAGAGACCCCAAGAAGAGAGAGAAGUCUCCAAUAAGGGGCAAAGGGUGGGUGUUGCCCCUCCACAUCACUUGGCAAAUGCUUUUGUGUGUGUGUGUGUGUGUGUGUGUGUGUGUGUGUAUGUAGAGUUGUAUGCUCUACAGCUGCAUGGUAUGCCUUACAUUGGAUAAUUUGUAAUAAAUUUAAAACCCUUACAUUGCAAAUAAUUUAGUUUAUUGCUGAUAGCUUCGCUCUCAUAAAAGUGCAGAACAAUUUACAAAGAUGAUUUUCUAUUUUAUUUUUGUCUCUGUGGAAGGAUAUGAAAGGAAAAGAGGUCUUUGAGUUCCAUUCUCCCCCAUUUUGACUUUCCCUCCUUUUAACACUUUCUUUGCUGCAGGGGCAUGAAGACAUUCUUCCUGGCUUUUGUUUGAGUAAGUCUCAGUUUAUUGAGGGGAUCAUGCAAAGAGCAAGUACAAAGGGGCUUUGUCUGAAAGAGGAGUUUUGGAGUCAUCAAAGGAAGCAGAGAGAGUAGAAGGAUGUGAGUCUGGGCCUGACAGGGCCCCCGGGGGUGGCAGGACCUCACCAGGAACAGCUGCGGAGGGGUGACCUUGGGCAGUAGCCUCUUGGUGUUGGCAAAUAAUCCUGUCUCCAAGCAAGGCAGAGAAGGCAAGGUGCAUUGCCUCCAAGAGACCAUGCCAGCUUGGACAAGGAAAUCAUCAGUGCCCACCAGAGACCCCAGGAAGAGAGAGGAGGUUUCAAAAAGGGCCAAGACUGAUUUCUCACCUUCUUGGUAGGAUUGUGUGGGGAGGCUGUUAUAUUUAGUUUGAUUUAAGCUUAUAAAGUAUGUUGAUAUUUCUUGCAUACCCAAAUCUACACAUAAGAAACUUGCUCCAUGACUAACAUUUCAGUGAAUUUCUUUGCAAAUACACAAACUUAUUUUGUUGAGAUGAAAUCCUAAAAGUGGAACUGCAGGAUUAAAAGAGAUGCGUAUUUUGAAAGACCUUUUGAAUUAUCCCAAAAAAUGUUGACUUAAUUUUCAAAGCCAUCAGUAUAAUUCAAAAGUGUUGACUUUCCACAUAGCUGUUCCUGGUGCAUGUCAAGGUUGAAAUCCUGAAGUCUCCUGUCUUGGAAGUGGAGGAAUUUUCUAAUUAGAAACAGAUUUGGUUUUCUGGAAGAAACUCUCUGGAAUCCUUUAUUAAUGGGGGUUCCAUGAGAAAAUAAAGCAGAAAAUGAUCCCAGUGACUAUUUCCAAUUCUCCCAAGCUUGGUAUAUAGCUAGAACCAUCCUAGACAGAUAGGGAGAAAAGUUAAUUUGGUUACUUACAAGAUAUGCUUUGGACUUAAUUCUCCCCUGGAAGGGAACCUGGUUGGAAAAGGCUACUCUAGCCUUGCACUCUGUGGUCCUUGGUCCUCUCUCUGGUAGACUUCCUUUUCUCUUAUCCUCCUUGACCAUAUGAGAAGUGGGUAUAGAGGCAAUGGUUCUCUUUGGGAGCUACACAGCUUUUUCUGCUCUCUCUCUCUUUUUUUUUUUUUUUGAAAAGGAGUUUCAUUCUUGUCACCCAGGCUGGAGUGCAGUGGCACGAUCUUGGCUCACUGCAACCUCCGCCUCCUGGGUUCCAGCAAUUCUCCUGCCUCAGCCUCCCGAGUAGCUGAGAUUACAGAAACCUACCACCAUGCCCAGCUAAUUUUUGUAAUUUUUAGUAGAGAUGAGGUUUCACUAUGUUGGCCAGGCUGGUCUUGAACUCCUGACCUCAGGUGAUCCACCCACCUCAGCCUCUCAAAAUGCUGGGAUUACAGAUGUGAACCACUGCAUCUGGCUUCUGCUCUCUUCUUACUCCUGCAACUUGAAGCCAAAGUUCUAUAUCUUGAACAGUUUUUUUGCUUAAUGUUAGCUUCUUUAGCAAUUCAUAAUUCCCUUUAAAACUUGGAAGACUUCUGAUUUCUUUGGUUUCAUUCAGUACUAUGUGCUAAGCAACCACUCCCUCCCCUCAUUUCUUUAUCAGUUUCUUUGCUUCCCCACUUUAAACCACACUAUUAAUAAAGGCAUCUACCUGAAUGUAUCUAGAACAACCUUUGAGAAGUGUACAAAUCAUUUUCACGCUGCUGAUAAAGACAUACCUGAGACUGGGCAACUUACAAAAGAAAGAGGUUUAAUUGGACUUACAGUUCCACUUGGCUGGGGAAGCCUUUCAAUCAUGGUGGAAGGCAAGGAGGAGCAAGUGACAUCUUACACGAAUGGCAGCAGGCAAAGAGAGAAGGAGAGCCAAGCCAAAUGAGUUUCCCCCUUAUGAAACCAUCAUGUCUCAUGCAACUCAUUCACUAUCGUGAGAACAUUGCAAGAAAGACCUGCCCUCAUAAUUCAAUUACCUCUCAGUGGGACCCUCCCACAUCAUGUGGGAAUUCAAGAUGAGAUUUGGGUGGGGACACAGCCAACCCAUAUCAAGAAGGAUACAUCCUUACUAUAAACAUAGCCUGGAGUCUCUUGAUUCCUCUGUGAAGUUUUACUGGGUUUUGUGACUCAAAGCCGUUAAAAAUUCUGACUUGUCCUAUUUGGGGUCUAGAAGCAGUUGGCUUUUUCACUCCUCAUUGCUGCAAAUAUCUGAAAUCUUUCUGUUCUCUUUUAUUUUUGUAUAUAAGCCAGCCACUUCUUUCCUCAGUGCAGCUCUUUCUCAUAAUACCUUGCCAAAUUCAGCAAAUAACAACCAGCAUCCACAUCUAGUGUUUUGUUUUCUAACCUUUUCUCUCUCCUCUAGGGUCCGUAGACACAUGGACUACCUAUUAAGUCACUUCAGAUGUCAGGUUUUCCAAAUGUUUUGCUUCUGAAUAACAUGAUAUCCAGCCUCCAGCCUGUUAUGUUUCCUCACUGCUACCACUACUCCCUCCUAAGCCAAUCCCAUUUUCAGUAAUGAUUUUUGUACUAGUCAGGAAAAGCAAAGUGCUGUAAUAAACGGCCUCAAAUCUCAAAGGCUUAAUGUCAUAAAUACGUCUUCUUUGCUCAUGCAAAGUUCCAUCGCUAUUUUCAUGGUUAGGAGGCUCUCCCAGCUGGUCCUUUUCCAUAUGGUGCUUCUCUAGGUUAAGGCUUCUUCCACCAAUGUGAUACCACCACCAGUAUGUGGCCACCAAGGUUACCGCAAACAGGGAAGAGAGAGGAAGUUUGUGUUGUUGUUGUUUUUAAGUGGAGCCAGUCCUGGAAGUAGCUUGCAUCUCUUCCUUCCAUAUUUUAUUGCCCAAACUCAGUCACAUGGCUAUAUCCAGAUAUAAAGCAGCCAAAAAUAUAGUCUACCAGAGUAAGUAUACUAGAGUACAAACGUGGUGAGGCCAGGGUCUUAUACAAUGCCUGAUACACAGUAGAUGUUUAAUAGAUGUCUGAUAAGGUAUACAUUGAAUUUUAAAUCUACUUCCACUUAUCGUUUCCUUUAUUAUUUCUACUUUUGGUA